rnacentral:rRNA from 1 species
GACAGAGGGUGCAAACGUUGCUCGGAAUCACUGGGCGUAAAGAGCGUGUAGGCGGCCAGGUAGGUCUGGUGUGAAAACUCGAGGCUUAACCUCGAGAUGUCAUCGGAAACCAUCUGGCUAGAGUCCGGAAGAGGAGAGUGGAAUUCCUGGUGUAGCGGUGAAAUGCGCAGAUAUCAGGAAGAACACCAAUGGCGAAAGCAGCUCUCUGGGACGGUACUGACGCUGAGACGCGAAAGCGUGGGGAGCGAACAGG